rnacentral:misc_RNA from 1 species
CAUAACUAAUGUUGAUUCUGGUCUGAUUAUUUCGGUAGUGCGUUUCUUUACUUGAGUCCGAACGGUUUGUGCAGACAGUGCAUUCAAGGCUGACGUUGAGAUGGAUUUUCUGGGGAUUAGAGGAACAAAAGGUUUUUGUGUUCCAGAUUAUUUCAACUUUGCUGACGUUAUAGACGAGUGGGCACAAAAAGAAAAGGAGGGCAAAAAACAAAGUGAUCAUCCAGCUCUGUGGUGGAUUGAUGGUGCUGGUAACGAGGUUAAGUGGACUUUUGGAGAUGUUGCUGUGAACUCUAAAAAAGUUGCUAAUCUUCUGUCUAAUGAGGCUGACGUCAAACCAGGAGAUCGUGUGAUGGUGAUAUUACCAGCAAUUCCAGAAUAUUGGCUGAUACAGGCGGCCUGUUUGAGAACAGGUAGUGUAUUCUUAAUAAUGCCAACAAAUGUUGGUCCAAAAGAGCUUCACCGAAGAAUGUUAAAAUCAAAACCAGUGUGUGUGGUGGCAGCUCCUUGUGAUCAGGUCAAUAACGAACUACUGGAUGUGGUAGAUGAGGUUUUUUGCUCUGCGGAAGUCGAUAUACGAAGCAGGAUUUUGGUCAACAGAAUGAAAUAUGAAGAAAGGCGAAGAGAUUGGCUCUUAUUUGAAGAUCUCUUUCAAAAAGCAAGUGCUGAUUAUCACUCCGUGAAGUCUCAAAGCUCAGAUCCUGUAAUUAUAUACCACACAAGCGGAACAACGGGGAAUUCUAAGAUGGUAGAACAUUCACAAGCCAGCACAGGCCUGUGUAGUGGUGGAAUGAGGAGGUCUCAUUUCGUGGAAUCUGACUUGAUUUGGAUUGCUUCCCCCACGGGUUGGCCAGUUCUCUCCUUCGUCAGUUUCUUCUCGACCUGGUCUGUUGGCGCUGGCACGUUCGUACAUUAUGUUGCAUUUGUGACCGCCCGUGAAGCUUUGGAGACCCUUCAAAAGCAUCCGAUUACUGACGCACAAUUUAGCCAUUCACUUUACUUGAAAGCCUUAGACGACGAGGAUCUCAAGAGCCUUAGCUUCGCGAAAUUAAAACGCUUUUUUGUGGCUGGAGAGCCAGCGAGCAAGCAUAUGAUUCGCAGAUGGAAAGAGGAAACAGGGAUAGAACUUUGGAAUUACUAUGGUCAAACGGAAACCGAUAUCUUGACUUUUCCAAGAGAACCUGGGGAUGAUUCCCGUCCCGAUUCAGUCGGGAAACUUCUUACCGGAAUCGAUAUGCUGAUUGUCGAUGAUAAAUAUAAUGAAGUAACCCCAGGUACACAGGGAAGAGUUGUUAUUCGUGUGAAGCCUUAUUGUCCCGUGGGAAUGUUCACUCGUUAUGUGGACGAUCCAGAGAAAACUGAGUCAUGUUUUUGCGGAGAUUUCUUUAUCACUGGUGAUUUGGGUCGAAUGGACGAAGACGGUUAUUUCUGGAUCUUUGGAAGAACUGACGACGUUUUAAUCAUCGACGGAUGUAACAUAAUCCCUGGCGACGUAGAAAACUGUCUUAAAGAACAUCCAGCUGUAUUGAACUGCGUUGUGGUCAGCGUUUCUUAUCUCAAUAGACAGUGGCUUCAAAAAUGAAAAUCAAGACCAUUUGAUCAAAACGCUACAAGAUCACGUGACAUACAAUAGUGCAUCCUGGAUGUCUCCAGAGAAGAUGGAAUUCAUCGAUGAUCUUCCAAAGACUGGAACGGGCAAGGUUGACAGACGAAAACUACAAUGUGCUGAUUUGUGAAAAACCAUCCAAGGAAAAUUGCCGCAGCUUUAAGUGAGAUUGCAGCUUAGGACUGUGACAUUGCAACAAGAGAAACGUUUCUGUAGCAAAUAGAAUUUGCAUUUCUGUUUAUCUUUAAGUAACUGCGAAAUUGUUUUACAUUUUUUUUUCUUUCAAUCGAACUACUACUGUGAUGUUUUGUCUCUAUUCAAUUAAGUUCGCGUUUUUGCAUGAGGUUGUGUAAGAAUUACGUAACACUGGUAGUCUUUUCUUUCUCGCCAGUAUAAGCGUUGUUUUCGUU